AUUUGAUUUGAUAUCAGCCCAUGUUUCUGGAAAUAAAUUUCCAGUGAAACUACCCGUAAACACAGAAAAUGGCUUAGAGGUAGCGUAAAAUAAAUAGCUUUGAAAGUAAUACACACACAUAGUUUAAAAGAAUAUUUGUUUUUAUGCCUUGAAAACGAAACCGAAAUUGAAAUAACUUCCCCCGACGGGUGUCGCCGCUAUCGCCGCUACGUCAUUUCCUGCGUCUCGCGGCGGGCCGCCGGGAGCACAUGUGUGUGUUCUCCGUGACAUUCUUGAAGUUGUGAGUAAUUAGAUUGUUUUUUGCUGCGUUUAGGUUGUACCACCUCGUUGUUUUCGUGUACUUUUGUGCUCAUCGACGCGAAGUGAGCGUCCGGAGUGAAGGCGACGCGAUUAUGCGUGAGAAAGAAGGGCACCAGCGGCCUACGACAUCGGUGUUUCUUUGUGACAGUGUGUUUACUACGCCUACGACGGCCGUCAUUCGUGGCGAAGGAGAAAACAUCUUCCAUUCGGCCUGAACAGUGAUGAAGUGGACGUUUUGUUUUUCGGCGGAAUGCAUCGUCAACAUGGUCCAUCCACUACGUAAACGAAACGGCGUGCCCAGAGUACAGAUCGUGACAGCGCUCCGCCUUCAAACCGAGGGCCUUUUGCAAGGCGCAUGAACUGCUCAUAUAAAAGUUGCAGUCAGCAUGAAGCAAUUGCAUGGGAACCGACUGGCUGUCUUGGGCCUACACGUUGCUGAAAAGACAGUGAAGACGUCUGACCCGACAGGUCUUUAAUGAUGUGGUUCACUGAGGCAAUGGAAAUGGCGAGUGUUGCAAUCUGGUGUUGCUUGAUCCUGCGAUUGCACCGAGUCAACUCAUCUGCUGAUGUUCAUGACCCUCAUCAGAAGCCAUUGUGGGCCAUCCAUUUCGGUGCUGAUCCGGGAGAUUUGAUGUGGUAGGAUUUUGGUCUUUCACAGUCCUUGCCCACCUCUGCACAGUGCUGACGUCAACACAGGCAUUCCUGUAAACUGCAGUCAAAUGGCCAUGAAUGUUGAUAUGCGCACAACCUUCCACAGUCAGAAAUUCAAUUACAGCCUGUUGUUUCAACUGGACGUCACCACUGGAUGCCAUGAAUUGCUCGAUUACUCUGGAACGAGAAGAGAUAGGAAGGCGA